rnacentral:rRNA from 1 species
GACGAACGCUGGCGGCGUGCCUAAUACAUGCAAGUAGAACGCACAGUUUAUACCGUAGCUUGCUACACCAUAAACUGUGAGUUGCGAACGGGUGAGUAACGCGUAGGUAACCUGCCUGGUAGCGGGGGAUAACUACUGGAAACGAUAGCUAAUACCGCAUAAUAUUAAUUAUUGCAUGAUAAUUGAUUGAAAGAUGCAAUUGCAUCACUACCAGAUGGACCUGCGUUGUAUUAGCUAGUAGGUGAGGUAACGGCUCACCUAGGCGACGAUACAUAGCCGACCUGAGAGGGUGAUCGGCCACACUGGGACUGAGACACGGCCCAGACUCCUACGGGAGGCAGCAGUAGGGAAUCUUCGGCAAUGGACGAAAGUCUGACCGAGCAACGCCGCGUGAGUGAAGAAGGUUUUCGGAUCGUAAAGCUCUGUUGUAAGAGAAGAACGGGUGUGAGAGUGGAAAGUUCACACUGUGACGGUAUCUUACCAGAAAGGGACGGCUAACUACGUG